rnacentral:rRNA from 1 species
UACGUAGGGUGCGAGCGUUAAUCGGAAUUACUGGGCGUAAAGUGUGCGCAGGCGGCCGCGCAAGUCGAGUGUGAAAGCCCCGAGCUUAACUUGGGAAUUGCGCUCGAAACUACGUGGCUGGAGUGUGGCAGAGGAAGGUGGAAUUCCACGUGUAGCGGUGAAAUGCGUAGAGAUGUGGAGGAACACCAAUGGCGAAGGCAGCCUUCUGGGCCAACACUGACGCUCAUGCACGAAAGCGUGGGGAGCAAGCAGG